GAAAGAGCCGGUAGGCAGCGCCCCGCGUGCAGGGCGCGCCGGGCCGCGCGGCCGCUCCUCCGCGAGGCUGCGCGGCUGGGCGGGUCGGGCCGGAGCAGCGCCCCGGCAUGUCGCAAGGGCUCCCGGCCGCCGGCAGCGUCCUGCAGAGGAGCGUUUCGGCUCCUGGGAACCAGGCACAGCCGCAGAGCCCCGAGGAUGAUGACAGGAAGGUCCGAAGGAGAGAAAAAAACCGAGUUGCUGCUCAGAGAAGUCGGAAGAAGCAAACCCAGAAGGCUGACAAACUCCACGAGGAAUAUGAAUGCCUGGAGCAAGAAAACGCAGUGCUGCGGAGGGAGAUCGGGAAGCUGACGGAGGAGCUGAAGCACCUGAGUGAGGCGCUGAAGGAGCACGAGAAGAUGUGCCCACUGCUGCUGUGCCCCAUGAACUUUGUGCCGGUGCCCCGGCCAGACCCCGUGCCUGGCUGCCUGCCCCGGUGAAGCCCAAGGACGGCCCUCCUUUGCCCAGCGAGGAGUGUUGGUCUUUUUCGCACCUGGGAGGAGGCUUCUGCCGGCAUCUGUGGACCGGGGGUCCUGUGGCCGGGUCACCUCCUCAGAGCUUCGGGCCGUGUCCCCAGCAGCCCAGGCUCAGCUUGAUGCUCCCACAGGUGCCUGGCUCGGAGCUUGAGCGGAUCCAGGCGGGGAGGCCAUCCUCAAGCAUCACUGUGCAUCCACUUUGGCAGCUAGGAGGUUCCGCUGUUGUGCAGAAUCAUGUCCUCCAGAGAAUGGAUAAUAAAGUGGGAAUCUUCUCUCCUUUCACCUUGUUCUUGGAACUGAGAGGCACAAUACCUUUCCUUUCCUGUUAGAGGUCAUUCUUCUCCUCAGGCUGCUUUGCAGCUCCUGGGUCUCGCUUGUCCUCCUGGUCCUCUCCCCCAAAGCCACGUCCAUGCUAGAGGGGGAGGCACCUUUGGGGUGGGACUCCCCAGCUGGGCCAUGCAGGGGUGUGCUGGGCGUGACUUGUGCUCUGCACAGCCCUCCCUCCCAGUCAACUCUCCCACCCAGGCCCGGCGGUCAUGGGAGGUUUUCUGUUCCAGGCUGGUUUUCCCGAGUGCUCUGUACACUCCCAGGUCACCUCCCGUUCCAGGGGAGGGGACACAUUUACUUAAUAGCAGUUGGAAUGGAGGCUAUCUGUCCCUCAUUUCAACACGUAUUUCAGGUAGGUGAGGAGAAGAGAGUCAUUCCCUUUCGAAGGUGCCAUCCAACAACUCUAUUCUUUCAGGAAAAACGGAACCAGGCCAAGUUGAAGGUGGCCCUAGCGAGAAAAGCAAGACGGGAGAGCAUGUCCCAUCCCUUCCCAGUUCUCCUUUUCUCUGGAACAAGAGGGCUGGGAAAAGUGGGGCCAGCCCACUACGAAGGGAAUAAGGAGUAGGGACAGAAAGGGAAGUGUAUUGUUGUAGAUAG
rnacentral:lncRNA from 1 species